AGAGUUUGAUCCUGGCUCAGGAUGAACGCUGGCGGCGUGCCUAAUACAUGCAAGUCGAGCGAACGGACGAGAAGCUUGCUUCUCUGAUGUUAGCGGCGGACGGGUGAGUAACACGUGGAUAACCUACCUAUAAGACUGGGAUAACUUCGGGAAACCGGAGCUAAUACCGGAUAAUAUUUUGAACCGCAUGGUUCAAAAGUGAAAGACGGUCUUGCUGUCACUUAUAGAUGGAUCCGCGCUGCAUUAGCUAGUUGGUAAGGUAACGGCUUACCAAGGCAACGAUGCAUAGCCGACCUGAGAGGGUGAUCGGUCACACUGGAACUGAGACACGGUCCAGACUCCUACGGGAGGCAGCAGUAGGGAAUCUUCCGCAAUGGGCGAAAGCCUGACGGAGCAACGCCGCGUGAGUGAUGAAGGUCUUCGGAUCGUAAAACUCUGUUAUUAGGGAAGAACAUAUGUGUAAGUAACUGUGCACAUCUUGACGGUACCUAAUCAGAAAGCCACGGCUAACUACGUGCCAGCAGCCGCGGUAAUACGUAGGUGGCAAGCGUUAUCCGGAAUUAUUGGGCGUAAAGCGCGCGUAGGCGGUUUUUUAAGUCUGAUGUGAAAGCCCACGGCUCAACCGUGGAGGGUCAUUGGAAACUGGAAAACUUGAGUGCAGAAGAGGAAAGUGGAAUUCCAUGUGUAGCGGUGAAAUGCGCAGAGAUAUGGAGGAACACCAGUGGCGAAGGCGACUUUCUGGUCUGUAACUGACGCUGAUGUGCGAAAGCGUGGGGAUCAAACAGGAUUAGAUACCCUGGUAGUCCACGCCGUAAACGAUGAGUGCUAAGUGUUAGGGGGUUUCCGCCCCUUAGUGCUGCAGCUAACGCAUUAAGCACUCCGCCUGGGGAGUACGACCGCAAGGUUGAAACUCAAAGGAAUUGACGGGGACCCGCACAAGCGGUGGAGCAUGUGGUUUAAUUCGAAGCAACGCGAAGAACCUUACCAAAUCUUGACAUCCUUUGACAACUCUAGAGAUAGAGCCUUCCCCUUCGGGGGACAAAGUGACAGGUGGUGCAUGGUUGUCGUCAGCUCGUGUCGUGAGAUGUUGGGUUAAGUCCCGCAACGAGCGCAACCCUUAAGCUUAGUUGCCAUCAUUAAGUUGGGCACUCUAAGUUGACUGCCGGUGACAAACCGGAGGAAGGUGGGGAUGACGUCAAAUCAUCAUGCCCCUUAUGAUUUGGGCUACACACGUGCUACAAUGGACAAUACAAAGGGCAGCGAAACCGCGAGGUCAAGCAAAUCCCAUAAAGUUGUUCUCAGUUCGGAUUGUAGUCUGCAACUCGACUACAUGAAGCUGGAAUCGCUAGUAAUCGUAGAUCAGCAUGCUACGGUGAAUACGUUCCCGGGUCUUGUACACACCGCC
rnacentral:rRNA from 1 species